rnacentral:rRNA from 1 species
CCCCUAGAUGUUCUGGGCCGCACGCGCGCUACACUGAACAGUUCAACAAGUCUUAACCUUGGCCGAUAGGUCUGGGUAAUCUUUGAACGCUGUUCGUGACUGGGAUAGACCUUUGCAAUUAUGGGUCUUCAACGAGGAAUUCCUAGUAAACGCAAGUCAUCAGCUUGCAUUGAUUACGUCCCUGCCCUUUGUACACACCGCCCGUCGCACCUACCGAUUGAAUGGUCCGGUGAAAUCUCGGGACGGCGGCUUGGUCGCUUGCGUCCGACUGCUGAAACUUGAUUAAACCAUACCAUUUAGAGGAAGGUGAAGUCGUAACA